UACGGAGGGGGCUAGCGUUGUUCGGAAUUACUGGGCGUAAAGCGCACGUAGGCGGCUUUGUAAGUUAGAGGUGAAAGCCCAGGGCUUAACCCUGGAAUUGCCUUUAAGACUGCAUCGCUAGAAUUGUGGAGAGGUAAGUGGAAUUCCGAGUGUAGAGGUGAAAUUCGUAGAUAUUCGGAAGAACACCAGUGGCGAAGGCGACUUACUGGACACAUAUUGACACUGAGGUGCGAAAGCGUGGGGAGCAAACAGG
rnacentral:rRNA from 1 species